CCUACGGGGGGCUGCAGUGAGGAAUAUUGGUCAAUGGACGAGAGUCUGAACCAGCCAAGUAGCGUGAAGGAUGACUGCCCUAUGGGUUGUAAACUUCUUUUAUAUGGGAAUAAAAUGUUCCACGUGUGGGAUUUUGUAUGUACCAUACGAAUAAGGAUCGGCUAACUCCGUGCCAGCAGCCGCGGUAAUACGGAGGAUCCGAGCGUUAUCCGGAUUUAUUGGGUUUAAAGGGAGCGUAGGUGGUUUGUUAAGUCAGUGGUGAAAGUUUGCGGCUCAACCGUAAAAUUGCAGUUGAAACUGGCAGUCUUGAGUUCAGUAGAGGUGGGCGGAAUGCGUGGUGUAGCGGUGAAAUGCUUAGAGAUCACGAAGAACUCCGAUUGCGAAGGCAGUUCACUGAACUGCAACUGACACUGAGGCUCGAAAGUGUGGGUAGCAAACAGGAUUAGAUACCCCUGUAGUC
rnacentral:rRNA from 1 species